rnacentral:tRNA from 1 species
GCGGCUGGUAGGUGACCGGCCGACCGGUGAUCUCGGAGAUCGCCGCGGCGAGAUCGCCGUAGUUCCAGGCGACAUCGCCACC